GGAGAAGAGAGGAGGGGAGGAGAGCAAGCUCCAGCUCCAGCGGGGAGCCUUCGCCUCCACGGUCCAGCUCUCAGUGGCCUCUGGCAACAUUAUGUCUUCCCUCACCCCUCAGCCCUAAAGGGAGAAUGGCUUCUAACUAUUGUCAGUUUCUGGGUGUUUCACCGUCACUUGCUUGUUCCCUGAACCCUCACCAUGUAUCUUGAAGUAGCGCCUUCAUUUGGCCCAUCUGUGGUGGCUUCUACUUCCUGCCAGGUUUCUGACUGACAAAGUUCUCUACUUAGUACAGGAAUCCACUUUGCCUAGACAGAGCUAGUGGUACCUGGAGACUUACGGCCCCCUCGCAGGCCUCCCACGCUUCACCAAUGACUGAUGGUGCAGAGGUAUCAAUUCUCCCAGCUUCCUGGCCUCUGACUUGGACAACUGAGGUAGGACUUACUCCAUCUCCAGCGCUCUCUGGUGUACCACCCCUCCCCCACCCAUUGGCUUUGCUUGACAUCACAUCCUUAUGUGGGUUUUUUCUCCUCUUCCCUUUGUGUUGGUCCUAUUUCUCUAUUUCCUUAUUGUUUU
rnacentral:lncRNA from 1 species